GUGUUUACAACUUCUGCCCAAUAAAGAUUUGGAAUUCCUUUGCCUUUUAGCAUGCUUCUUGCCAUUUCGACAAUAGUGAGAUUAUUUCUCUCAGCUACUCCAUUUUGUUGUGGAGUUCUGCUAACUGUUAUCCCUUUGAAUGCCAUUAACUUUGCAAUAUUCGAUAAAGGGAUUGUAGAGAAAUUCUCCUCCGCGAUCAAUCCUCAACAUCUUUAUUAGAAAUCCACUUUAUCUUUCUGCAAGUACUUUAAACUUUAGAAAAGUAAAGAAUGCCUCAGAUUUUUUAUUCAGAAAGAAAAUCCACAUCAUCCUUGUGUAAUCAUCAACAAAGAGAACGAAAUAUCUCUUAUUUCCAGGAGUAGGAGUUUGCAUUGGUCCGCAAAUAUCUGAAUGAACAAGCUCCAAUGGCAUUUUAGCUCGCCAUGAAGUUUUAGGAAAUGGAAGCUUGUGCAUUUUUCCAUAGAUACAACCUUCACACACUUUGUCUGUCCUUUGAAUUUUAGGAAGUCCGAUCACCAUAUUUUUCUCCUUGAGCAGUUGAAGUCCUCUGCCAUUUAAAUGACCAUAUCGCAAAUGCCAUAGAUGUGACAAAUCUGCAUUUUGAGCUUUGAGUGCACAAUUGUUGUAUCGUGGCAACAUGAGACAAAAGGUUUUGUUUUUCAUUUCAACAUUUGCCACUAUGACAUUUUCUUUUUAUCAAAGAUCUUGCAUCUUUCAUCAUCAAAGUGCACCGAAAAAUUCUCUUGCAAGAGUUGUCCAAUACUUAAAGAGAUUAUAUGAAAGAUUUGGCACAUAAAGAACAUCAGUAAUAAGUUCUCUGUUACCUCCCUUAGUUUGGACUGCAAUGAUGCAUUUUCUUUCUACUCUUCUUUGCGUUCCAUCUCCGAGAAUAAUUUGAGAAGUGAUAUUUGGAUUGAUCUCUACAAAGAUAUCUUUAUUUCCUGUCAUGUGAUUGCUAGCGCCGCUAUCCAAAUACCAUUUAUUCUUGGAUUCAAAG
rnacentral:lncRNA from 1 species